rnacentral:rRNA from 1 species
GUGGGGAAUAUUGGACAAUGGGCGAAAGCCUGAUCCAGCCAUGCCGCGUGUGUGAAGAAGGUCUUCGGAUUGUAAAGCACUUUAAGUUGGGAGGAAGGGCAGUAAGUUAAUACCUUGCUGUUUUGACGUUACCGACAGAAUAAGCACCGGCUAACUUCGUGCCAGCAGCCGCGGUAAUACGAAGGGUGCAAGCGUUAAUCGGAAUUACUGGGCGUAAAGCGCGCGUAGGUGGUUCGUUAAGUUGGAUGUGAAAGCCCCGGGCUCAACCUGGGAACUGCAUCCAAAACUGGCGAGCUAGAGUACGGUAGAGGGUGGUGGAAUUUCCUGUGUAGCGGUGAAAUGCGUAGAUAUAGGAAGGAACACCAGUGGCGAAGGCGACUACCUGGACUGAUACUGACACUGAGGUGCGAAAGCGUGGGGAGCAAACAGGAUUAGAUACCCCUGUAGUCC